GUUUCAAACUUGUGCGCAUACGCAGUGGUCAGUGGAAGGCUCUAUUUAUCUGUUUAAAGAAAUAAAAGGUUUGCAGAUCAGAACUGAUGGGAUCAUCUGAGAAUUGAUAGAAGAAAGCGCUACGAAGUCAGAGAAGGACUAAGACACAUAUUAAGAUACUCAGAUUCCAUCAGAUACCAUAUUGACCAUCUUGUCUGAAGUAAGUUCAAUGUAAUGAGCAACUGUUCCUUCAACAUUUUGAGAUGUCAAGUUUGCAGCAUUCAAAUGCCAUUUUUGUGACAGUGCAUUUACAUCCUUAAAAAGAUACGUAAAUCACCAAACUAACACAGAAAGGGGCUUCAAGGUGGAGAAAGGAGCAAAAGGACAAGCUGUGAAUUCAAAUGUUCUGUCUCUUAUUUCAAAAAUAGCUGGCUUUGGAGGGAGUAACAUAAGUUGCCUUCACAAUGCGAUCUCUGAACAUUGUAAAUAACAAAAGUGAUUAUACUUCUUUUGUUCUGCACAAGACUUUUGCCGGUUUAUGUAAGUUUGUUUCUGUGCUUGGUGUUUUUGAUUUUGUUUAUGUGAGUACUUUAUUUAAAUGUUAAAAUGUGUUAACACAUUUGAAGACAGUUAAUGUCAGUUUUACUGUUUUUGAAAGUUGUUAAUAAACCGGACGUAACUGAA